AUUGAACGCUGGCGGCAGGCCUAACACAUGCAAGUAGAGCGGAUGAAGGGAGCUUGCUCCUGGAUUCAGCGGCGGACGGGUGAGUAAUGCCUAGGAAUCUGCCUGGUAGUGGGGGAUAACGUCCGGAAACGGGCGCUAAUACCGCAUACGUCCUGAGGGAGAAAGUGGGGGAUCUUGGACCUCACGCUAUCAGAUGAGCCUAGGUCGGAUUAGCUAGUUGGUGGGGUAAAGGCCUACCAAGGCGACGAUCCGUAACUGGUCUGAGAGGAUGAUCAGUCACACUGGAACUGAGACACGGUCCAGACUCCUACGGGAGGCAGCAGUGGGGAAUAUUGGACAAUGGGCGAAAGCCUGAUCCAGCCAUGCCGCGUGUGUGAAGAAGGUCUUCGGAUUGUAAAGCACUUUAAGUUGGGAGGAAGGGCAGUAAGUUAAUACCUUGCUGUUUUGACGUUACCAACAGAAUAAGCACCGGCUAACUUCGUG
rnacentral:rRNA from 1 species